rnacentral:rRNA from 1 species
AACAGGAUUAGAUACCCUGGUAGUCCAUGCCGUAAACGAUGAGUGCUAGGUGUUGGAGGGUUUCCGCCCUUCAGUGCCGGAGCUAACGCAUUAAGCACUCCGCCUGGGGAGUACGACCGCAAGGUUGAAACUCAAAGGAAUUGACGGGGGCCCGCACAAGCGGUGGAGCAUGUGGUUUAAUUCGAAGCUACGCGAAGAACCUUACCAGGUCUUGACAUCUUGCGCCAACCCUAGAGAUAGGGCGUUUCCUUCGGGAACGCAAUGACAGGUGGUGCAUGGUCGUCGUCAGCUCGUGUCGUGAGAUGUUGGGUUAAGUCCCGCAACGAGCGCAACCCUUGUUACUAGUCGCCAGCAUUAAGUUGGGCACUCUAGUGAGACUGCCGGUGACAAACCGGAGGAAGGUGGGGACGACGUCAGAUCAUCAUGCCCCUUAUGACCUGGGCUACACACGUGCUACAAUGGACGGUACAACGAGUCGCGAACUCGCGAGGGCAAGCAAAUCUCUUAAAACCGUUCUCAGUUCGGACUACAGGCUGCAACUCGCCUGCACGAAGUCGGAAUCGCUAGUAAUCGCGGAUCAGCAUGCCGCGGUGAAUACGUUCCCGGGCCUUGUACACACCGCCCGUCACACCAUGAGAGUUUGUAACACCCAAAGUCGGUGGGGUAACCUUUUAGGAGCCAGCCGCCUAAGGUGGGACAGAUGAUUAGGGUGAAGUCGUAACAAGGUAACC